rnacentral:lncRNA from 1 species
CCUGAGUUCUAGAUCUACCACUGUUCAUGCGGGACCUGGCAUAAAGCAUUCCCACGUCUCGGCCUCCAUUUCCCCAUCUGUGAAACGAGAGCACUGGUCAGCUCUUCACAUGCAGCGUUUGUGGGAUGAAUCCUUCCAUCUGUCCAUCCAUCCCGCCAACAUCCAUGCACAAACAUUUAGCACCUGCUGCAUGCUGUCAGGGACUAUGGCAGGAAAAGAGUUGAAACAGACACGUCCCAGGCCUCCAGCCCCUCACACCACGGAGAGGAAACAGAUGCCCGCAAAGGAGGAGGCACCCCUCAGGGGGCCAGCGCUGCGACACGGUGGAGGCAGGGAGGCCGUCUCUAAGCAGCCUGCGAGUCCCCGCGCUGCACCGUGGCUUUGAGGAGUGGCGGGGGCCGAGGGGCCGGUCUCUCUUCCGGGGGAGAUUCCUCCCCUCACCCCGGCAUUACUCAGCGCCCUGAACUGUCUGCCUCCCUCCAGCCGGCCCUCCUCGUCUUCCUGGAGCGCAGCACAAAGGUCCUGUUGUGGCCGCGGCCCGGGCCGCGGGCGAGCCUCUCUGGAUGGUGGUGACUCAGUCUCUUGCCAUUUCCUUUGUGCGGCUCCGGGGCUCCUCGCUGGGAGCGGAGUGUGUCUGCAGGGCUGGGGGCGGGAGCCGGGACCCACAGCCCGACAGCGAGCCUUUCAUGUGGGCAGGGGGCUUCCCGCACGCAAUGCGAACCUACGCCUGGAGCUUCCCAAAGACAGCGUCCGGCGCAGGAACGCGAGAUGCUGGCCGCCUCGCCUCUGGCCCCCGCGAGCAUCAAAGCGCGUGCCGUCGAGGGGGCACGUGUCCCCCAUCGGGCGCGCCUCUGCUCCUAGUCCCCUGAAUGAACACAUCCUUAUGAAAAGUGGAAAUUAGCCGCCGAAGGGAAGGGCCCGGAGAGCUUGGGAAGCGACCUAGGCUGCCAGCCUCCCGGCGGGUCUUUGGUCCCAGCUCUGAUGACCUGUCAGCAGCCGCAGGACCUGCGCUUAAAGGCGCCUCUCCAGGCCUGGCUCAGGGUGGGGCUCCUCGUGCUCAGCACCCUGGUCAAGGUUAGGGCUGGGUGUGCGCUGGAGGCUUGGAGUGCCAGGGCACCCAGUGAAGAGCGAAUGAAUGAACGAGUGAACACCGGACUGGGGGCCUGCAGACGGUUCUUCGCAGGUUAAUUAGAAGGCCUCUAGCAAGCUGCAGCGGAGGCAUUUCAGGCAUCCUUCAGAGAGGACCCUCGGCCUGGCUCCUAAGGGCCCCUGGUCUGGCUCUCACCCCCUGCUCUGGUGGCAUUUCUGCUCACUCAGCCUUUACCCUUUACACGCCAGCCGCUCUGAACAGUUUAUUCUUCUGGGAGCACAUCAUGUUCUUGCUCACAUCCAGGUUUUGCGUAAGCUGUUCCUGCUGCAAGGAAAACCCUUCCUGUGUCCUCCUCAGGUGAGAGCUCCCGCAGGCAGCUUCUCCCCGGAGUCUGGCGUAAGUGUUCCUCCUCUGCACGCCUCUGAGGACAUUUGCAAAGGCAACUCCUGUGCAUCUGUAGGUACCAUUGUGAGGUUACUGCCCUGGACUGGGGAGAGAUCCACACACGCAAGAGUGCAUCUGGCAUCACUCUCUUCCUGUCAACCCUGGCAUUGCCUUUGUUGGCUACUGAGAGAAGACCAGAAAUAUCCAUCUAGUCAGACUUGCCUGCUCCUGGGAAGAAAACAAAAAUGCAAAGAAAAGGUUCUCAGGGAGAUUGAGCCAACCUGGGAGUGGCCCUCAGCUCCUCCAGUCCCCAGAGACCCAUGCUCUGCAGCAUCCAAGGGGCUCCUGUGAAACUGUUGGGAGGCCAAUGACACUCUGUCCCACGUUGUGGAUCUAUUUUGUGGUCUCUGUAUCCUUCACUGCUUUUUGUGGACAUUAUUGUAUUAGAUUCCUUUGGAAAUGAUGAUCCAGCUAAUGGCCAGUUAGUAGGAAACAUCACGACCCUCCCCCCAAAUUCCAGCCUCUUGCUGAAAGGGUGGGGCCUGGGAAAUCAUAUGGUAUUGCUCCUGGUCACCACAGACCAGUGGUGGCUUUGGGCCAAAUUCUGGCCCAGCCAAUCCCCCCCACCUUUUUUUUUUUUUGAGAGAGAGAAUUUGAGGUAAGAGACACAGAGACUCAGGUUAGGAGGAUGCUUGAACUGAAAGGUCCUGAGACAGCAGGACAGGAGCUAGUACCAUGCAGAACACAGCAGGAGCCACAGGCAAGCCUGAACUGUGGGAGAGAGAAAACGAAGGGCCUUCCAGAGAGGUCCAGUCUGCCAAGAGGAGAAGAGAGUUGACACGCAGAAAGAGUUAGGGGUGACAAGAACCCCCGUAGCCCCUUGAAGGACACAGAGAGGAGAUCUUUUUUGUUCUUUUGUGAUUCAUCCUUUCUCACUUCCUGUCCUUGGAGGUCAACAACAGACCCCUGUAUCCUUUUAAUAAUCCCUCUUUUCAUUUGAAAUUGUUCCAGAGGGUACCUGAUCCUUGUUGCCAGCAUGCCCUGAAUAAGAAAAAUGCUCAAACCAAACACUGAGUCUACUGAGUCUAUGUGAAUUAAUUCUUGGAAUUCCUUGGCUCAAUUCAAUAAACAUUUCAUGCACAAUUUUUGUGUGCCAGGUGCUAGAGGCAUUCUGAGAAAAACUGAGACCCAGGAGCUGUCCUCAGAGAGUCCAGUAAGAUGUGGUCUGAUAAGACAUGUUUCCAUAUACCCAGAAUACAAGGUAGUUUGCUAGGAGCACUGCAAGAGAAACGCAGAUGGAAGGCUGGAGUGUGUACUGCCACUGUGGAAGCAGGAGGGGCUUGAGGGAAGAGGGCCUUCAAGAAUGGGUGGAAUCUAAUAUUGGAAAGGGGAGGAAGAGUGGAAAGUAUAAGAAUCAGAAGUCUGGUUGCAGGAUGGGGCAUGAUAUGGGUGGGACACUGUAAACUGCACAGCGUGGAAGGAAUAUGGAGUUUAGAGGAAUAAUGUUAGAUGAGUCUGUAAGACGGGCUUGACUGGGAUUAUGAAGGGCCUUAAAGGUCAAGCCAAAUUUGUUAUCAUAGAAUCAUAAGAAGGAGAAGAGCCUUAGCUGUUGUCUAGUCUAACUUAGGUAAUUUGGUUCCAGUUCCUCUUAAGGUGGCCACCAUGACAGACUGAAUCUCAAGUACUCAUCUGAGAUACAGUCAUUUCAAUGGUAGUGACUCAGAAUUUACUUUUCUUUUUUUUUACCCCAGCAAAAUAUUUAUUUUAGAAAAUAGGAUUAUAUUAUUUGUUGCUCUCCAACUUGCUUUUUUUGGACAUCUUGGACAUCUUUCUCUACCAGUACAUAUAGUUCCAUUUCCUUCUUUUUAUUUUAUUUACUUUAUUAUUUUUGUAGAGAUGAGGUCUUGCCAUGUUGCCUAGGCUGGUCUGGAACUCCUGGGCUCAAGAGAUCCACUCACCUUGGCCUCCCAAAGUGCUAGGAUUACAGGCGUGAGCCACUGCAGAUAUUUUUAUUUUUUAUUUUCAUUUAUUUCAAUAGUUUUUGGGGAGCACGUGGUUAUUUGAUUACAUGGAUAAGUUCUUUAGUGGUGAUUACCGAGAUUUUGGUGCACCCAUCACCCAAGCAGUGUACACUGUACCCAAUGAGUAGUCUUUUAUCCCUCGUCCUCCUUCCCCGCUCCCCUCACGUCCCCAAAGUACAUUGUAUCUUAUGCCUUUGCAUCCUCAUGAGAUUACUUUUCUAUCUUUAACAACUUAAGAGUUCUUUCCAGAAGAGUCCUCUUACUACGAGGAAGAGUGUUAGAGCACAGGGAACUGGGCCUAGAGAGUCUGCAGCAAAUUGUCUCAAAUAGCAGCUUAAAAAGGUAAGGAACAGAAAAGAAACACUCUCUAUCUAUGUGCUGGCCUCAGGCACAGUGCUUCUAGAUGGUAGAACAUCUGUGAAGUAGAAAUUACAAUCACUUUUCAGGUGAGAAAACAGGAGCUGUAGGGAGGAGUCGGACAGGUCCCCAGGCCCAGCAACUAUACCAGGUGAGGCAGGAAUGUGGCCUCGUGUUGACCAGAUUCCACAGCCACGGGCUUCCAUCCCUCUUCUCUGCUUGCUUUAAGACUAACCACCCUGGCUUCAA